CACGCCGCGCCCGCUCACGCCGCGCCCCCGCUGGCACGCAACUUCCGACUUUCAGACAUGUACGGUUUGUUUACAAGACGCAGAUGGACCAUAUUGCCAUAUUGAGUCAUGGCGGCAACAACUCCCGGGAAGCACCUGUGACUUAGCUCAUCACAUUGCUCUGGGCCAGUGGACAACUAAAUUUGGCAAAGACAUUGAGAGGGACAUGGCACGCAUCUGAAAAUGGUGGUGCAUUAGUCUAAUGGAACGGUUCCAGAUUGACGGCCAUGGACAGAGGUUUGCAUACUGGACUAAUGAGGCCAGAGCAUUGCUCCAAGGUUCACUGCAGCCAAUAUACAGGGUCCCAAAGGUCAGCAAGAGGGAACAUGAGGUUUCGAUUAGAAAAGGAUGACAGGUGCAUCAUAUUGGAGUUACCAACGUGUGUGCUUUCUGUAAUCCUAAAUGAAGUGGUACUACAGGAAGGAGAUAAGGCAUACUUAAGAUUGGCUCUUGUGUGUCCACUGACUCCUUCAGGAGACGGGCACAUUUUCAGUGGCUUGACAGUGUCGCUACAUGGAGCAGGUUUUCUGAGUCCUA